rnacentral:rRNA from 1 species
AGGACGAACGCUGGCGGCGUGCCUAAUACAUGCAAGUCGAACGGUCUUUCUAUGGAAGCUUGCUCCACUGAGAAGAUAGUGGCGAACGGGUGAGUAACACGUGGGUAACCUGCCCAUAAGAGGGGGGAUAACAUCCGGAAACGGGCGCUAAUACCGCAUAGUUUUCUUGAUUGCAUGAUUGAGAAAGGAAAGACGGCCUUUGUGCUGUCGCUUAUGGAUGGACCCGCGGCGUAUUAGUUAGUUGGUGAGGUAACGGCUCACCAAGACGAUGAUACGUAGCCGACCUGAGAGGGUGAUCGGCCACAUUGGGACUGAGACACGGCCCAAACUCCUACGGGAGGCAGCAGUAGGGAAUCUUCCGCAAUGGACGAAAGUCUGACGGAGCAACGCCGCGUGAGUGAAGAAAGGGUUUUCGGAUCGUAAAACUCUGUUGUCAGAGAAGAACAAGUUGGAGAGUAACUGCUCCAGCCUUGACGGUAUCUGACCAGAAAGCCACGGCUAACUACGUGCCAGCCGCAGC